AUCCUUUAUGGUUCAUACAUGAUGUGCAAUGGACUGUAUGUUUACACAGUUUUGUGAGCUGUGCCUCCUUUGAAUCUUCUUAAGAUGUUGGCACAACACCCUCUGUUGACA
rnacentral:snoRNA from 1 species